rnacentral:lncRNA from 1 species
ACGGUUUGCCGUGUUUUCACCCUUCUUUGUUCUCCACCGGUCUGGGCAGGGUCUGAGGACUCCGGAGAGCAAGGCAUGGGUCCGCCUCGUGCCGCAGGUUCCUGGCCCACGCCAGCCGUACCCAGUAGCACAAUGGGUGAGCUCUGAGGACUUCACAGGGGCCCCAUCCCCUCACCUAGAUGAGGGCUAACCUUGGAAUCCAGACAAAGGUGGAAGUGACCUAGAUGUGACCUGAAUGAGCUAAUCAUCUAAUGAGAGCCAGCCCUUUGUCCUGCCCACAUGAAGGGCUUUGCUGCUACGCACUGACAAGUUGGACGGCUUUUUAUUGCUUUGUUGCCAGUUAUCUGAACAUGAGAGGCUGUAAGGUGUAAUCUGCGAGCCCUGCGCCCAGACUGAACCAGGGCCUCCCUUGAACAUGAGUAUUAGACAAAUGAAAUAAGAACUUAUCUUGCCCAGACUAUAUAAUGGCUUGGAAAUGCAUAGUUUCCUGAACGAUCUCAAUAAAAUACUUUUAAAAGUA